rnacentral:rRNA from 1 species
GUGGGGAAUAUUGGACAAUGGGCGCAAGCCUGAUCCAGCCAUGCCGCGUGAGUGAUGAAGGCCUUAGGGUUGUAAAGCUCUUUCAGUGGGGACGAUAAUGACGGUACCCACAGAAGAAGCCCCGGCUAACUUCGUGCCAGCAGCCGCGGUAAUACGAAGGGGGCUAGCGUUGUUCGGAUUUACUGGGCGUAAAGCGCACGUAGGCGGAUCGUUAAGUCGGGGGUGAAAUCCUGGAGCUCAACUCCAGAACUGCCUUCGAUACUGGCGAUCUUGAGUCCGGAAGAGGUGAGUGGAACUCCUAGUGUAGAGGUGAAAUUCGUAGAUAUUCGGAGGAACACCAGUGGCGAAGGCGGCUCACUGGCUCGAUACUGACGCUGAGGUGCGAAAGCGUGGGGAGCAAACAGGAUUAGAAACCCGAGUAGUCC